rnacentral:rRNA from 1 species
GACGAACGCUGGCGGCGCGCUUAACACAUGCAAGUCGAACGUGAAGCCGGGGCUUGCCCCGUGGAAGUGGCGAACGGGUGCGUAACACGUGAGCAACCUGCCCCGAACGACUGGGAUAACACCGGGAAACCGGUGCUAAUACCGGAUGCCCUCUUCUGAUCGCAUGGUCGGAUGAGGAAAUGGAUUCCGCUUCGGGAUGGGCUCGCGGCCUAUCAGCUUGUUGGUGAGGUAACGGCCCACCAAGGCGACGACGGGUAGCUGGUCUGAGAGGACGACCAGCCACACUGGGACUGAGACA